UGAUCCACAUCCACGAAUGGACGGAGCAGUUUAUGGAGACAUCAACCUUGACAGUUCUGGUGUUAGGCAAAUAGCUGUUCCCCUGUGCUGGUGAAUGAUGAGAACAAACGUCAUGGCAGAGAUGGCUCGCUGCCUGCCAUGCUCUGCGGAGCCUUUGCAUAAAGAGAACGUCUAAUAAGCAUUCGGGCCUGGAUUCGUUGAAAUCACAUGGAGGCUGAGCUCAUUUUACUCAUGAUGCCGCGGGAGUGAUCGCGAAGGCAGCAUAUGUCAUACACUUCUUAAACACCAUUGCCAGCCAGUGACACAGCACCAUUCAGUCACGGAGAUUAAAAAUUAGUCAGACGUGGAAAAUAGAAACGGGGCUUCAUAAGAAGGAGGGAUGGUUGCACUGAAUGAUGUGCCCUCUUUUGCGUAGUAAAUAAAUGAUAUGUAUUUCCUGA